rnacentral:rRNA from 1 species
GACGAACGCUGGCGGCGUGCUUAACACAUGCAAGUCGAACGGAAAGGCCCUGCUUUUGUGGGGUGCUCGAGUGGCGAACGGGUGAGUAACACGUGAGUAACCUGCCCUUGACUUUGGGAUAACUUCAGGAAACUGGGGCUAAUACCGGAUAGGAGCUCCUGCUGCAUGGUGGGGGUUGGAAAGUUUCGGCGGUUGGGGAUGGACUCGCGGCUUAUCAGCUUGUUGGUGGGGUAGUGGCUUACCAAGGCUUUGACGGGUAGCCGGCCUGAGAGGGUGACCGGCCACAUUGGGACUGAGAUACGGCCCAGACUCCUACGGGAGGCAGCAGUGGGGAAUAUUACACAAUGGGCGGAAGCCUGAUGCAGCAACGCCGCGUGCGGGAUGACGGCCUUCGGGUUGUAAACCGCUUUCGCCUGUGACGAAGAGUGAGUGACGGUAAUGGGUAAAGAAGCACCGGCUAACUACGUG